GCCGGGCAUGGUGGUGUGUGCCUGUAAUCCCAGCUACCUGGGAGGCUGAGGCAGAAGAAUCGCUUGAACCCAGGAGGUGGAGGCUGCAGUGAGCCGAGAUCGUGCCAUUGCACUACAGCCUGGGUGACAGAGUGAGACUCUGUCUCUA
rnacentral:SRP_RNA from 1 species